GACGAACGCUGGCGGCGUGCUUAACACAUGCAAGUCGAACGGAAAGGCCUCUUUCGGGGGGUACUCGAGUGGCGAACGGGUGAGUAACACGUGAGUAACCUGCCCUUGACUUUGGGAUAACUUCAGGAAACUGGGGCUAAUACCGGAUAGGAGCUACUGCUGCAGGGUGGGGGUUGGAAAGUUUCGGCGGUUGGGGGUGGACUCGCGGCUUAUCAGCUUGUUGGUGGGGUAGUGGCUUACCAAGGCUUUGACGGGUAGCCGGACUGUGAGGGUGACGGGCCACAUUGGGACUGAGAUACGGCCCAGACUCCGACGGGAGGCAGCAGGGGGGAAGAUUGCACAAUGGGUGGAAGCCUGAUGCAGCAACGCCGUGUGCGGGAUGACGGCCUUCGGGUUGUAAAACGCUUUCGCUCAUGACGAAGCUUUGUGUGACGGUAGUGGGUAAAGAAGCACCGGCUAACUACGUG
rnacentral:rRNA from 1 species